CAGAUAGGCGCCUUCGCCACUGGUGUUCCACCCGAUCUCUACGAAUUUCACCUCUACACCGGGUAUUCCCCUAUCCUCUCCGACACUCAAGUCCCCCAGUUUCCUCUGCACGUUACAGGCUAAGCCCGUAGAUUUCACAGAAGACUUAAAGAACAGCCUACACUCCCUUUACGCCCAAUAAUUCCGAACAACGCUUGCACCCUCUGUAUUACCGCGGCUGCUGGCACAGAGUUAGCCGGUGCUUCCUUUGAGGGUACCGUCACCUCCAGCUACUAUUAGCAACUGAAAGCAUCUUCCCCUCCGACAGGGCUUUACGAUCCGAAGACCUUCAUCACCCACGCGGCGUUGCUGCGUCAGGAUUUCUCCCAUUGCGCAAGAUUCCCCACUGCUGCCUCCCGUAGGAGUCUGGACCGUGUCUCAGUUCCAGUGUGGCUGAUCAUCCUCUCAGACCAGCUACCCGUCUUAGCCUUGGUGGGCCGUUACCCCGCCAACUAGCUGAUGGGCCGCAACCCACUCCCAAAGCGAUUGGUUCCGAAGAAUCCCAACCCUUUUCCCUCAAACCCAAAUCCGUGGGCUUACCAAGUAUUAGCCAUCCUUUCGAACGGUUAUCCUUGUCUUCGGGACAUGUCAGUUACGUGUUACUCACCCGUGCGCCACUCUACUCAGCAUUACUGCUUUUCGCGUUCGACUUGCAUGUGUUAGGCACGCCGCCAGCGUUCGUUCUGAGCCAGGAUCAAACUCU
rnacentral:rRNA from 1 species